rnacentral:tRNA from 1 species
UCCUGGCAGUCUAGUGGUUAGAACUCAGCACUUUUGCUGCAGGGGACCCAGGUUCAAUUCCUGGUCCAGGAA